GUUACCAAACUGUUGCCUCGGCGGGGUCACGCCCCGGGUGCGUCGCAGCCCCGGAACCAGGCGCCCGCCGGAGGAACCAACCAAACUCUUUCUGUAGUCCCCUCGCGGACGUAUUUCUUACAGCUCUGAGCAAAAAUUCAAAAUGAAUCAAAACUUUCAACAACGGAUCUCUUGGUUCUGGCAUCGAUGAAGAACGCAGCGAAAUGCGAUAAGUAAUGUGAAUUGCAGAAUUCAGUGAAUCAUCGAAUCUUUGAACGCACAUUGCGCCCGCCAGUAUUCUGGCGGGCAUGCCUGUCCGAGCGUCAUUUCAACCCUCGAACCCCUCCGGGGGAUCGGCGUUGGGGAUCGGGACCCCUCACACGGGUGCCGGCCCCGAAAUACAGUGGCGGUCUCGCCGCAGCCUCUCCUGCGCAGUAGUUUGCACAACUCGCACCGGGAGCGCGGCGCGUCCACGUCCGUAAAACACCCAACUUUCUGAAAUGUUGACCUCGGAUCAGGUAGGAAUACCCGCUGAACUUAAGCAUAUCAAUA
rnacentral:rRNA from 1 species